rnacentral:rRNA from 1 species
AACGAACGCUGGCGGCAGGCUUAACACAUGCAAGUCGAGCGCCCCGCAAGGGGAGCGGCAGACGGGUGAGUAACGCAUGGGAAUCUACCCAUCUCUACGGAAUAACGCAUGGAAACGUGUGCUAAUACCGUAUACGUCCUUCGGGAGAAAGAUUUAUCGGAGAUGGAUGAGCCCGCGUUGGAUUAGCUAGUUGGUGGGGUAAAGGCCUACCAAGGCGACGAUCCAUAGCUGGUCUGGGAGGAUGAUCAGCCACACUGGGACUGAGACACGGCCCAGAGUCCUACGGGAGGCAGAAGUGGGGAAUAUUGGACAAUGGGCGCAAGCCUGAUCCAGCCAUGCCGCGUGAGUGAUGAAGGCCCUAGGGUUGUAAAGCUCUUUCACCGGUGAAGAUAAUGACGGUAACCGGAGAAGAAGCCCCGGCUAACUUCGUGCCAGCAGCCGCCGUAAUAC